GAUGAACGCUGGCGGCGUGCUUAACACAUGCAAGUCGAACGAUGAAGCCCAGCUUGCUGGGUGGAUUAGUGGCGAACGGGUGAGUAACACGUGAGUAACCUGCCCUUAACUCUGGGAUAAGCCUGGGAAACUGGGUCUAAUACCGGAUAGGAGCGUCCACCGCAUGGUGGGUGUUGGAAAGAUUUAUCGGUUUUGGAUGGACUCGCGGCCUAUCAGCUUGUUGGUGAGGUAAUGGCUCACCAAGGCGACGACGGGUAGCCGGCCUGAGAGGGUGACCGGCCACACUGGGACUGAGACACGGCCCAGACUCCUACGGGAGGCAGCAGUGGGGAAUAUUGCACAAUGGGCGAAAGCCUGAUGCAGCGACGCCGCGUGAGGGAUGACGGCCUUCGGGUUUUAAACCUCUUUCAGUAGGGAAGAAGCGAAAGUGACGGUACCUGCAGAAGAAGCACCGGCUAACUACGUG
rnacentral:rRNA from 1 species